GCUAUUAAAACUGUUAUUUAAAUGUUGUAAGGGUUGGUAUGUUAUAUAUACAAUCUAAGUCUAUGUAAAGACUUUUUGAAAGAUCCUACUGUACAGAAUUCUCCAUAAUUGAAUUCGUGACAAGUACUCAUAAUAUUUGAAACUUGUAUAUUAUUUCUGCGUAUAACCUAUCUUUAUUUUUAUUUUAAUUUUAUUUUUUACUUUAUUUUAUUUUAUUUUAUUUUAUUUUUUCGUAGGUCUUCUGGAACUGCUGGAUCUAUUCAUACAUUGCUAAUUACUCAGCGUACGUACACAUCUUACAAACACGCAGAAGUCCAACCUAAAACACUUACCUACAUACAACAUAAUAUCAGAAAUACACGCAACGAUUUAGCUUCAUCAAAGAUAUAUUAUUUAUUCAUUCAUCGGUUAAUAUAAAAUAAGCUUGAGUUAAGAGUGAAAUAAGAUUCAUGGCACUAUACACAAACUCACCAUUUUUACUACAUAUUGCUAACAUCAUAUUUGCUUAAAAAGCACGCACUCCAUGAUAUACCAAUAACAUCCUACUUUCCGUCCAUCCUUUCCCAUUCCCCAAACUAUCGAUACGUUUCUUAACGAUACGAUAACACAAAAUACAAAACUACACAGCAGUACUUUAAGUAUCGUCUUGCUCGGUUUAUUCCAGACCCAUUUCCUUGUUACCCUUCUUCAGAGCCCCGCACGUGAUUGGUUAAGUUCAAUCAUGCAAAGUGAUGCAAUGACGUCAUCUGUUUGAAACAGGUGGAAGUGUGGCACUAGGAAUUUACAACUUACCCUUUACUUACAACAUAAGAAGAAAGAAACUACUU